CAGUAGCCGCGGUAAUACGAAGGGGGCUAGCGUUGUUCGGAAUUACUGGGCGUAAAGCGCACGUAGGCGGAUAUUUAAGUCAGGGGUGAAAUCCCGCAGCUCAACUGCGGAACUGCCUUUGAUACUGGGUAUCUUGAGUAUGGAAGAGGUUAGUGGAAUUGCGAGUGUAGAGGUGAAAUUCGUAGAUAUUCGCAGGAACACCAGUGGCGAAGGCGGCUAACUGGUCCAUAACUGACGCUGAGGUGCGAAAGCGUGGGGAGCAAACAGGAUUAGAUACCCCCGUAGUCCCUGUCUCUUAUAC
rnacentral:rRNA from 1 species